UACGUAGGUGACAAGCGUUGUCCGGAUUUACUGGGCGUAAAGAGCGCGCAGGCGGUCGAUCAAGUCGAGUGUGAAAGCCCCCGGCUCAACUGGGGAGGGUCAUUCGAUACUGGUCGACUCGAAGGCAGGAGAGGGUAGUGGAAUUCCCGGUGUAGUGGUGAAAUGCGUAGAUAUCGGGAGGAACACCUGUGGCGAAAGCGGCGCACUGGACCACAACUGACGCUGAGGCGCGAAAGCUAGGGGAGCAAACAGG
rnacentral:rRNA from 1 species